UACGUAGGGUGCGAGCGUUGUCCGGAAUUAUUGGGCGUAAAGAGCUCGUAGGCGGUGUGUCACGUCGGCCGUGAAAACCUGCAGCUUAACUGUGGGCGUGCGGUCGAUACGGGCAUCACUGGAGUUCGGCAGGGGAGACUGGAAUUCCUGGUGUAGCGGUGAAAUGCGCAGAUAUCAGGAGGAACACCAGUGGCGAAGGCGGCUCACUGGACCGGUACUGACGCUGAUGCGCGAAAGCGUGGGGAGCAAACAGG
rnacentral:rRNA from 1 species